rnacentral:tRNA from 1 species
UGCGAGCGUAGUUCAACGGUAGAACAACAAAAGUCAUACAAGGUUCUCUGCUUUCAACAAGCAUCACGCAGGUUCGACUCCUGCCGCUCGCAU